AAGACAUCCUUAUGAGUCAAGACUUGCUUCAGUGGGGCUUUGGUGCUCACUGAGUCUGCCCCCUGAGUGUGUGCAUU
rnacentral:pre_miRNA from 1 species